rnacentral:rRNA from 1 species
AUACGGAGGGUGCAAGCGUUACUCGGAAUCACUGGGCGUAAAGCGCGCGCAGGCGGCUAUUUAAGUUGGAUGUGAAAGCCUACGGCUCAACCGUAGAACUGCAUCCAAAACUAUUUAGCUAGAGUGUGGGAGAGGAAGAUGGAAUUAGUUGUGUAGGGGUAAAAUCCGUAGAGAUAACUAGGAAUACCAAAAGCGAAGGCAAUCUUCCGGAACACUACUGACGCUGAGGCGCGAAAGCGUGGGGAGCAAACAGGAUUAGAAACCCUAGUAGUCC